AGGAUUAUAGUUAAUUAUAACAUUUGAAUUGCACUCAAAAAGUAUUGGAAUCACCAAUUUAUCUUA
rnacentral:tRNA from 1 species